UUAAGCGACUAAGCGUACACGGUGGAUGCCCUGGCAGUCAGAGGCGAUGAAGGACGUGCUAAUCUGCGAAAAGCGUCGGUAAGGUGAUAUGAACCGUUACAGCCGGCGAUGUCCGAAUGGGGAAACCCAGUGUGAUUCGUCACACUAUCGUUAACUGAAUACAUAGGUUAACGAGGCGAACCGGGGGAACUGAAACAUCUAAGUACCCCGAGGAAAAGAAAUCAACCGAGAUUCCCCCAGUAGCGGCGAGCGAACGGGGAGCAGCCCAGAGUCUGAAUCAGCUUGUGUGUUAGUGGAACGGUCUGGAAAGUCCGACGGUACAGGGUGAUAGUCCCGUACACCAAAAUGCACAGGUUGUGAACUCGAAGAGUAGGGCGGGACACGUGGUAUCCUGUCUGAAUAUGGGGGGACCAUCCUCCAAGGCUAAAUACUCCUGACUGACCGAUAGUGAACCAGUACCGUGAGGGAAAGGCGAAAAGAACCCCGGCGAGGGGAGUGAAAAAGAACCUGAAACCGUGUACGUACAAGCAGUGGGAGCACCUUCGGGUGUGACUGCGUACCUUUUGUAUAAUGGGUCAGCGACUUAUAUUCUGUAGCAAGGUUAACCGUAUAGGGGAGCCGCAGGGAAACCGAGUCUUAACUGGGCGUUAAGUUGCAGGGUAUAGACCCGAAACCCGGUGAUCUAGCCAUGGGCAGGUUGAAGGUUGGGUAACACUAACUGGAGGACCGAACCGACUAAUGUUGAAAAAUUAGCGGAUGACUUGUGGCUGGGGGUGAAAGGCCAAUCAAACCGGGAGAUAGCUGGUUCUCCCCGAAAGCUAUUUAGGUAGCGCCUCGUGAAUUCAUCUUCGGGGGUAGAGCACUGUUUCGGCUAGGGGGUCAUCCCGACUUACCAACCCGAUGCAAACUACGAAUACCGAAGAAUGUUAUCACGGGAGACACACGGCGGGUGCUAACGUCCGUCGUGAAGAGGGAAACAACCCAGACCGCCAGCUAAGGUCCCAAAGUCAUGGUUAAGUGGGAAACGAUGUGGGAAGGCACAGACAGCCAGGAUGUUGGCUUAGAAGCAGCCAUCAUUUAAAGAAAGCGUAAUAGCUCACUGGUCGAGUCGGCCUGCGCGGAAGAUGUAACGGGGCUAAACCAUGCACCGAAGCUGCGGCAGCGACACUAUGUGUUGUUGGGUAGGGGAGCGUUCUGUAAGCCUGCGAAGGUGUGCUGUGAGGCAUGCUGGAGGUAUCAGAAGUGCGAAUGCUGACAUAAGUAACGAUAAAGCGGGUGAAAAGCCCGCUCGCCGGAAGACCAAGGGUUCCUGUCCAACGUUAAUCGGGGCAGGGUGAGUCGACCCCUAAGGCGAGGCCGAAAGCGUAGUCGAUGGGAAACAGGUUAAUAUUCCUGUACUUGGUGUUACUGCGAAGGGGGGACGGAGAAGGCUAUGUUAGCCGGGCGACGGUUGUCCCGGUUUAAGCAUGUAGGCUGGUUAUCCAGGCAAAUCCGGAUAAUCAAGGCUGAGGUGUGAUGACGAGGCACUACGGUGCUGAAGUAACAAAUGCCCUGCUUCCAGGAAAAGCCUCUAAGCAUCAGGUAACAUUGAAUCGUACCCCAAACCGACACAGGUGGUCAGGUAGAGAAUACCAAGGCGCUUGAGAGAACUCGGGUGAAGGAACUAGGCAAAAUGGUGCCGUAACUUCGGGAGAAGGCACGCUGGUGUGUAGGUGAAGUCCCUGCGGAUGGAGCUGAGACCAGUCGAAGAUACCAGCUGGCUGCAACUGUUUAUUAAAAACACAGCACUGUGCAAACACGAAAGUGGACGUAUACGGUGUGACGCCUGCCCGGUGCCGGAAGGUUAAUUGAUGGGGUUAUCCGUAAGGAGAAGCUCUUGAUCGAAGCCCCGGUAAACGGCGGCCGUAACUAUAACGGUCCUAAGGUAGCGAAAUUCCUUGUCGGGUAAGUUCCGACCUGCACGAAUGGCGUAAUGAUGGCCAGGCUGUCUCCACCCGAGACUCAGUGAAAUUGAACUCGCUGUGAAGAUGCAGUGUACCCGCGGCAAGACGGAAAGACCCCGUGAACCUUUACUAUAGCUUGACACUGAACAUUGAGCCUUGAUGUGUAGGAUAGGUGGGAGGCUUUGAAGCGUGGACGCCAGUCUGCGUGGAGCCAACCUUGAAAUACCACCCUUUAAUGUUUGAUGUUCUAACGUUGGCCCCUGACCGGGGUUGCGGACAGUGUCUGGUGGGUAGUUUGACUGGGGCGGUCUCCUCCUAAAGCGUAACGGAGGAGCACGAAGGUUAGCUAAUCCUGGUCGGACAUCAGGAGGUUAGUGCAAUGGCAUAAGCUAGCUUGACUGCGAGCGUGACGGCGCGAGCAGGUGCGAAAGCAGGUCAUAGUGAUCCGGUGGUUCUGAAUGGAAGGGCCAUCGCUCAACGGAUAAAAGGUACUCCGGGGAUAACAGGCUGAUACCGCCCAAGAGUUCAUAUCGACGGCGGUGUUUGGCACCUCGAUGUCGGCUCAUCACAUCCUGGGGCUGAAGUAGGUCCCAAGGGUAUGGCUGUUCGCCAUUUAAAGUGGUACGCGAGCUGGGUUUAGAACGUCGUGAGACAGUUCGGUCCCUAUCUGCCGUGGGCGCUGGAGAAUUGAGGGGGGCUGCUCCUAGUACGAGAGGACCGGAGUGGACGCAUCACUGGUGUUCGGGUUGUCAUGCCAAUGGCACUGCCCGGUAGCUAAAUGCGGAAGAGAUAAGUGCUGAAAGCAUCUAAGCACGAAACUUGCCCCGAGAUGAGUUCUCCCUGAGACUUUAAGUCUCCUGAAGGAACGUUGAAGACGACGACGUUGAUAGGCCGGGUGUGUAAGCGCAGCGAUGCGUUGAGCUAACCGGUACUAAUGAACCGUGAGGCUUAACCUU
rnacentral:rRNA from 1 species